rnacentral:rRNA from 1 species
GGAAAGAAAAAACCACCACCGCUCACCGAUGAGCACACGGCGUGGCGAAACAACCAUUCGCGCGCGUGUGCCGGUCGGCGCUCCUCCACGUCUCGGCAACGGCAGCCACGAAACCAAAACAAACCAAAACCUUUUGGGCACCGCACCGCACCGCUUCCCAGCGUCCGUGCGUCCGUCCCGCGAAAGGAAUACUAGUCGCUCGACCUCAUCGAUGGCCGUCCGGUGUCACGCCGCUGCUGCCUUGGUCUCGUCCCGAGCGCGCCUGCCUUCCUACCUCCCGCCCCUCCUCCCCUCCGCGCGACCCCGACCCGGCACGACCCGCGGCGGCGGCUACAGGCGGACCGCCGUUCGCGCCAUGGGCGCCGCGCCGUCGUCGCCUUCGCCGUCCGGACAGGCCCCAGGUGCACGCCGUUUAUUUCCGUUUUCCUACGGCUCGUGCUUUUACUCUCACAAAAAAAAUCAUGGCCUACUCGCGGUGCGACUGAGAGAAAUUGAAGGUGGAGUUUGCUCUGGGUUUGGUGGUGCAGCUUCGCGCCUGAAUUGAUCAUGUCAGAUGAAACAGGCUCGGGGGACCUGUGCUGUGAGGCGUGAGUAGUUAUGUCCCUAUUUGCUUUGAUUUUGGCCCAGGUAGACCUCUGUUAUGGCAAUGAUGCCGCUUUAUGGAUGACAAAACAGAACAUGAUGUUCAUAGUGACAAACUAUCAUGACCUUCACUCGCCGAUGUUUAGGAUUCAGGCGAUGCACUGAUGGCUCAAGGAGAUUUCUUGUGGACAAACUGUCAAUCACUGAAUUACUCCCUCCGUUCCGAAUUACUUGUCGCACGUAUGGAUGUAUCUAGAU